rnacentral:lncRNA from 1 species
GGAAGCAGGGCUGGGGAAGAAAUGGCAAACUAGGGAUCUUACCUGGGCCUUCCCAGUUGAGACUACGUCAAAAUGGGCUCCCAUGAGACUGCCUGGCUCAUGCAGAUGGAAGGCUAACAUCUUUUUAGAAACAACUCGUGCUACCCUCUCCUGUUCCAAAAGCCUGUCUGGUCAGAAUGGUGUGAUGAGCCCUCCUCUUCAGCUAGGAAAAUGACGGUGUUCAGAAAGUUAAAACUUCUUCGCUGGAAGGAUUUCAUCUUAAAGUUGGGAGACUGGAAGAAAUUAAAGUGUUCUAAAUGGAAGAGCAUUCACCACAUGUGUUCUGUUUUGGGUUGACAUUUAGCUUUUGUUUUUAUUUUAGAAACGGAAGACUCUGGUAGCAGUCCUUGAAAUCUUGAUGCCAUUGCUAUUUUCUGCAUUGUAUUGUAUCUUCGUUUUAGUAGUGCUCCAAUAAAAAGACCUGCUACUAGCUGCCAUGCAAUUGAUAUCA